rnacentral:rRNA from 1 species
GACAGAGGUUGCAAACGUUGUUCGGAAUCACUGGGCAUAAAGCGCACGUAGGCGGCUGAUUAAGUCAGGUGUGAAAUCCCUCGGCUCAACCGGGGAACUGCGCCUGAUACUGGUCGGCUAGAGAACGGUAGGGGUGAGUGGAACUCCAGGUGGAGCGGUGAAAUGCGUAGAUAUCUGGAGGAACACCGGUGGCGAAAGCGGCUCACUGGACCGUAACUGACGCUGAGGUGCGAAAGCUAGGGUAGCAAACGGG